CCCUUCAACUGUUAUAACCCAGAGCAAUCUCGGAUAAUUCCGAAAGCCCAAACAGGUGAUAGAUGCCACCGGCCGAAUCCACAGCCGUUCCGGUGGACUGCGAGAGGUUGCAUCGGGCGCUGUGCGAAUGCCACCGGCGUGUUUCGCCGGGUCUCGGACGCAAAGUGUCCUGUCGUCACUUGAAUCGGGCCUUGGCCCAGUGCAUGAUUUCGGUGGCUUGUCCGGAGGAAUCGGAGGCGGUUCGCAGCCUGUGUGCUAGCGGCGGGACUGCCCUGAAGCGGUCGCAGUGCCAGCAGGCCCAGCUCUCUCUAUCCAUCUGCCUCGCUUCUCAUCAACACGACUCCUCUCCUGAAUCAUGAACAAAGCUCCCUCUAACCUCACUUUUUUCUCUGUUUCUUGUGAUCUGCAGCUCCACAAGCGAGUUUUUUUUUAUGUAAUUUUUUAAAUUAAUUUUCAGUUCAAGUUCAUUAUUUAUAUGAUUUAUUUGUUCCAAUUUCUUUCCUUUUUUGGCUAUUCGCAUAGCUGAAUUGGGCAAUUCAAUUUCUUGUAUUGUAAUUGAAUUUGUAUAAUCUAAUUGAGUUAUACUAUUGUUCCUUAACCACUAUUGAAGAAGAGCAGAAGACUUGAGUAGAAAGUGCACACUUAUUUAUUUAGUGAUUCUUGAACUACUUAGGAAUUUAUCCAUCUGAUCAAAAAAUCCUUUUCCUGCAGAAACUUUCUCGCUUGUUCCAUAAUAUGGGUAUUAUUUUCCCCCCCCUCAUGUUCCAUUGAUUAGAAUUUCUUCACCUUUGUAAUUAAAUCAGAAUUACAGAUGUAUUAACAAGCACAUGGAUAUUCAUUUUUAACGGGGUGUGAGGGUUUGAAACCCACUUGUAAAAUACACCUCCUCAAUAAUAAAAAAUAAAAAGGAGCUUGUUAUCUAGCAACUCUCAAGUGAUGUAGAUAAAUUAGACAUUAUAAGUGUGUGAUUAAUUAAUUAAUUAAUUUAUUUUUAAAUUCCACUAAAUUGUUCUGUAUGUUGCAUGACAAAACUGAGUCUCUUUUCAGAUUCAACGCAUGGUUCCCGUCUGCUGCAAGUUGAAGCUGCAUAUCAUUGCAUGAGGAAGUGAUGAACAGUUAUAUGAGCAGUAGUGAUGGUGUUAAAGUGGCUUCUUUGUUCCUGUCUAUUGCAAGAUGAAGCUACAUCUCUUUCCAACUUUGCAUGACAAACAGUCAUAUGAGCAGUAGUAAUGAUAUUAAAGUGCCUUCUUUGUUUGAUUAAUGUUACGCAGUGCUAGCUGGGAGAGGCAGGAAUUGUACCUAGUGCAUCUUGAGUGAGUGCAAGUGAAUAUUAUCAACUUGAAGAGCAUUGCAUGAAGUAGGCAUCUACAUCAUGAACAUAAGGCUGGUGCUUUUGGUUGCAUUGGAGGUCUCUGGCUUGUUUUUAAUGUGAUGAACAUUCUUUUGUAUAUGGCCACAGAGGCCUUCUAGAAGAAGGAAAAUGACUUGCUGAAACUGUCGGGAUGUAAAAAAGCAUCUGUAGGGGAGCAUUCCAACCUAGAGAAGCACACUCUAGCAAGCAGGGGUGGAUGAAGCAAAACUGAGAAUGACAGCUCGAGUCCAUUGUUUCUCAGAGGACAUGGUUGUGAAAUUGGCCGUCCUAUAAAUUUGUGGAAGUACAUUGCUUUUUCCAAAAAUAAAGGGAGAAUACUUUUCACUGUUUUGGUUUUCCCAAGUGUGUUGCCUUUUGUGAAUACUUGGAAGAGUUUGAGUAACUAUAGCAACUAACAAUUGGCAUACCAAGGAUAG
rnacentral:misc_RNA from 1 species